CAAAUGCUGUAACACCGGAAAUAAUAUCCAAACCAACGAACGAGAAAUGGUGGAGGCUACCAGAACGAAGAGAGACAUUUUUCCGAAUUAACGUGGAACUUUUGGGGAUUUGUCGAACGGAACACGGCUGUUGUUUUCUCAUCAUAACGCGCAACCCAAAUGGCGUUUUUUUGUGAUAAAAGUAAUAUUUAUCGAACAAAAAGAAGAUUUGUUGUGUAACUGGGAGUCUCGUGAGUGGAAACGGCCGAAGAUUAUCAAAGGUGGCAAGUGCUGAUGAGUGUGCUACUGGUAUGAGCUGAUCAAGAAGUUAAGACACAGUGCAGCGGAAGACAAACUCAGAUCUGAAUGCUGAGCAGAGUGCUGGGCAGUCUCGCCCUGGGGGUAACAUGUGUCUGGACAUUUAAUCAAUACAUUCUGCUUUUUUUCACGGGUAAAAUAAACUAAAUGAUGGACA